GGGGGUAUAGCUCAGUGGUUAGAGCACCCGCAUACGUAUCGGAAGGUCGGGGGUUCGACUCCCGCUGCCUCCA
rnacentral:tRNA from 1 species